AAAAAAUAGGGGUUGUAGGGGACAGGGUCCCCUGCCGUUUUAAGAGGGGUGUUCAGGAUGUUAAACAUCCGCCGAAGGGGAA
rfam:Caldisalinibacter kiritimatiensis strain L21-TH-D2 NODE_22, whole genome shotgun sequence.